UAAGGAAUAUUGGUCAAUGGACGAAAGUCUGAACCAGCCAUGCCGCGUGAAGGAUGAAGGUCCUCUGGAUUGUAAACUUCUUUUAUCUGGGACGAAAAAAGGGUAUUCUUACUCACUUGACGGUACCAGAGGAAUAAGCACCGGCUAACUCCGUGCCAGCAGCCGCGGUAAUACGGAGGGUGCAAGCGUUAUCCGGAUUUACUGGGUUUAAAGGGUGCGUAGGUGGGCCUGUAAGUCAGUGGUGAAAUCUCCGGGCUUAACCCGGAAACUGCCAUUGAUACUAUAGGUCUUGAAUCAUCUGGAGGUGAGCGGAAUAUGUCAUGUAGCGGUGAAAUGCUUAGAUAUGACAUAGAACACCAAUUGCGAAGGCAGCUCACUACGGGUGCAUUGACACUGAGGCACGAAAGCGUGGGGAUCAAACAG
rnacentral:rRNA from 1 species